UACGUAGGUCGCAAGCGUUGUCCGGAUUUACUGGGCGUAAAGAGCGCGCAGGCGGCUGGUCAAGUCCGAUGUGAAAUCUCCCGGCUUAACUGGGAAACUGCAUCGGAAACUGAUCGGCUUGAAGGUGGGAGAGGGUAGUGGAAUUCCCGGUGUAGUGGUGAAAUGCGCAGAUAUCAGGAAGAACACCCGUGGCGAAGGCGGCUCUCUGGGACGGUACUGACGCUGAGACGCGAAAGCGUGGGGAGCGAACAGG
rnacentral:rRNA from 1 species